rnacentral:lncRNA from 1 species
CUCCCACCAAUGAACAAUACAAUUAAACAGCUAAACAAAUAUUAAACUCCACACUUCACCCAGAUUAAAUCAAACAUCUAUUUCCUGUUGGCUUACACAUAAUGCAUUACCGUGUAAAAGAGCCAAGAGACAAGUGGAUUCCCACAAUUAACAUUUUUUUCCCACACAGUCCCCGGCAACCUUGGCAAGCAGGGAAUCCUCUUUGAUCACCAAAUAGACC